GGGUGGUAAUGCCGGAUGCUCCAGUUGAUCGCAUGGUCUUCUGGGAAAGCUUUCGCGGUAUGGGAUGGGGUCGCGUCCUAUCAGCUUGACGGCGGGGUAACGGCCCACCGUGGCUUCGACGGGUAGCCGGCCUGAGAGGGCGACCGGCCACAUUGGGACUGAGAUACGGCCCAGACUCCUACGGGAGGCAGCAGUGGGGAAUAUUGCACAAUGGGCGCAAGCCUGAUGCAGCGACGCCGCGUGAGGGAUGGAGGCCUUCGGGUUGUAAACCUCUUUUAUCGGGGAGCAAGCGAGAGUGAGUUUACCCGUUGAAUAAGCACCGGCUAACUACGUGCCAGCAGCCGCGGUAAUACGUAGGGUGCAAGCGUUAUCCGGAAUUAUUGGGCGUAAAGGGCUCGUAGGCGGUUCGUCGCGUCCGGUGUGAAAGUCCAUCGCUUAACGGUGGAUCCGCGCCGGGUACGGGCGGGCUUGAGUGCGGUAGGGGAGACUGGAAUUCCCGGUGUAACGGUGGAAUGUGUAGAUAUCGGGAAG
rnacentral:rRNA from 1 species